rnacentral:lncRNA from 1 species
UAACCAACUUAACCAACCAACCAACCAACCAACCAAUCAAUCAAUCAAUGCAUGUUUCCGUUUCAUGUGUUAAAUACGGGAUCCAAGAUGUUUUUUUUUCGCUUGUUUAAAUUGAGCCUAUCUAACGUGUUUAACCAGCCAACGUGUUUAACCAACGUGUUUAACCAACGUGUUUAACCAACCAACCAACCAACCAACCAACCAACCAACCAACCAACCAAUCAAUCAAUCAAUGCAUGUUUCCGUUUCAUGUGUUAAAUACGGGAUCCAAGAUGUUUUUUUUUUUCGCUUGUUUAAAUUGAGCCUAUCUAACGUGUUUAACCAGCCAACGUGUUUAACCAGCCAACGUGUUUAACCAACAUGUUUAACCAACCAACCAACCAACCAACCAAUCAAUCAAUCAAUCAAUGCAUGUUUCCGUUUCAUGUGUUAAAUACGGGAUCCAAGAUGUUUUUUUUUUCGCUUGUUUAAAUUGAGCCCAUCAAACGUGUUUAACCAGCCAACGUGUUUAACCAACGUGUUAAACCAACAUGUUUAACCAACGUGUUUAACCAACCAACCAACCAACCAACCAACCAAUCAAUCACUUAAUGUAUGUUUCCGUGUCAUGCGUUUAAUACGGGAUGCAAGGUCUCUUGAGGUCUUUUUCCCCUUGUUCUAAGUGACCCUAUCAAACGUGUUUAAUCAACCAACCAACAAACCAACCAACCAACCAACCAAUCAAUCAACCAACUAAUCAAUCAAUCAAUAUGUAUGACUGUUUAUUUAUGACAGUUUAUUGAAGGAACAAACUCUCAAUUAUUCAAGAAAAUUUUUAUUUUAUUAUUGUUCUUACGUCUCUUCUGAAAAAAAAAUCCACAUAUUCUCUGAAACUACAAGUCCAAUCGACCUGAAAAUUUGCAGUCAGCAGGGCAUACAUGUACUGAAGGUUCAUAAAAAAACUUUUUGCAGAUAUCUCUCAAGACUUUUCCUAGAAAAAAGAAAUGGCAAUGCAGUAAAAAUCGCUUGCUAGGUCCGUCAAUCUCAGUAAAAACCUACAAUAAAAUGUCCGCUCCGAGAUUGAAAUACUAAUCUGUGUUACAAACAGGUGCUGAAAAAUGGACAUUAUCAAAAAAUAAUCAUUAAAUGUGUUUUAAAGUUACACCGG